GUGAAACCUACUACCAGAACGGCAAACAAGUCACCCGGCAGAGGACCCAGACAGGUCUUUGGUGGCUGCCGUCCCACUCAUGACUUCUUCAAGAACCCAAGGGAAAGGUGAUUGUCAGCCUCCCGUGGCUGGCAUUCCCCUUUGGGAACCUGAAACUCCAGAGCCCGCCCUGCCCCCACGGAUAUGCUACCAGACCAGUAAUCCGGUAACUGGAGGACGAGUCACUUGGAACUGCACCCAAAACCACACCGCAGCCAGUCUCACCAAGGCCAGCCCGGGUACCUUCUUUUGGUGCAACAGCACCUUAAGCAACUGCAU